rnacentral:rRNA from 1 species
UACGUAGGGUGCGAGCGUUAAUCGGAAUUACUGGGCGUAAAGCGUGCGCAGGCGGUUUUGUAAGCCAGAUGUGAAAUCCCCGGGCUUAACCUGGGAAUGGCAUUUGGGACUGCAAGGCUUGAGUGCGGCAGAGGAGACUGGAAUUCCUGGUGUAGCAGUGAAAUGCGUAGAUAUCUGGAGGAAUACCGGUGGCGAAGGCGGCAUCCUGGACCGGCAUUGACGCUGAGGAGCGAAAGCCAGGGGAGCAAACAGG